AGAAAAGGAAAGGUAAAGUAGCUUUAGCAUGUUCAUUCUCUUCAAACUUGAAGGUUGUGUCUGAAGAACUCUUCCGUCAUCUCCAAGGCCUGAGUCCGAACUUCCCCAAGGCGUUUGGUCCUGCCUUCAACAUUGCAACAUUUCGAUCAGCCAGACACCUCAUAAGAGAUAGCUUUCUUGCGCCAUUCUUCGCUUGAAAUCUGGCUGGGUACGAGAUUCCAUCAAUUCCUUCCACCAUUACCAAGCAUUGAGGUCUUUGGUCCGAGGGAUUGAAGUGGCCAACGGUAAAGCAUUCCAGGAUUCCUCCACUUCUGGGCAGAAUACGGCAGCAUGGAGCAAGCUCUCAGGUGCUGCGUUGCGUCUCAAACAGACUUCAUCAAAGUGAGGUUCCAUACACUGUCCCAGACUUGCUUCUCUUAGUGGCGCUGAUGUGGGGCUUCCAUAGGGGAGUGAUAAAAUUGGAAUGCCUAUAGCAUAUCCUGAGCUAAUUGUGUAUUCUUCCAAUUCCGACAGGGCGACAGGAACCAGGCGGCAAUUUAAAUGGUGGCAUUGAUCUAAACAAAGGAUCCUCCUGGAUUCUCACAGGGCUCUGAGCACCGAUCUCCCGUUUUAGUCCUUCCUCCAACACCUUCCUUCCCUCAAGAAGACUCUACCAUGUCCAAGACGACCUAUUUCUAGCUUGUGCUUCCAUAAAAGAGAUUAGACAAAAGUACUUAUUCUUGUGGUUGACAAUUUGUCUACGAGUAUCGUUGUACUGCUGGAUGGUAUGUAGUAGAUUCUCAUUACUUUAUUGUGUAGCCUUACAGAAUAGGAUAUAGUCAUCUGUAAAGAGAAGAUGAUUGAUAGAUGAGAACCUACUCUAGUUACUCUGAUCUCGUUGUGGAGCAAAUAGGAUAGUCUUUCUGUUCAGAAUAGAAAUAGGUAAGGAAAGAGGGGAUCACUUUGGCGAAGCCCUUUGCUUGGCUUGAAAAGGCCAGAAGAUAAUCCUUCCACUAUAAUAGAAUAAGAAUACACAUCUUUUCAUCUAAUCAAUUUAUUUAUUACAGAAAUCCAAUUUUUUUCAUCGCAUACCACACAAAACUCCACUCCACCUGAUCAUACGCGUUGCUCAUAUGAAGCCUAAGCGACAUAUCAAAACCACCAUUGCUUUUAUUUUUUUUAAAAAUGCAUACAUUCAUGCGGCAUCAUCACAUCAUCACUAAUGAGUCUUUCCCUGCAUGAAUGCACUCUGUUUCAUCAGGGGUUAAAAGUUAAAACUUGUGCACUAACACCUUACAUAUAAUUUUGUGAAAGACUGUACUAAAGCUAAUGGGUCUAAUUUGACUCAUAUUAGUAGCAUUCUAUGUCUUUGGAAUAAGGCAUGUAUGAGUAUGACUAAAAUUGCAUAACAUCUUACCUCCCUCAGAAAUUUUAACUGCUCAACAUACGUCUAAUUUAAUUACCCCAUAUAGGAUUGAUUGAAUUUUGCGAUGAACCCAUCAUCCUUAGGGGCAGCUUCAGGGUUGAUAGAGAAAAUCGCCCUCUUGACCUCUUCUUAUGCAUAACUAAAAUUUUGAAGGCAAAAAUUUUGUUAAAGAAGGUA